AUUGAACGCUGGCGGCAGGCCUAACACAUGCAAGUCGAGCGGAUGAAGGGAGCUUGCUCCUGGAUUCAGCGGCGGACGGGUGAGUAAUGCCUAGGAAUCUGCCUGGUAGUGGGGGAUAACGUCCGGAAACGGGCGCUAAUACCGCAUACGUCCUGAGGGAGAAAGUGGGGGAUCUUCGGACCUCACGCUAUCAGAUGAGCCUAGGUCGGAUUAGCUAGUUGGUGGGGUAAAGGCCUACCAAGGCGACGAUCCGUAACUGCUCUGAGAGGAUGAUCAGUCACACUGGAACUGAGACACGGUCCAGACUCCUGCGGGAGGCAGCAGUGGGGAAUAUUGGACAAUGGGCGAAAGCCUGAUCCAGCCAUGCCGCGUGUGUGAAGAAGGUCUUCGGAUUGUAAAGCACUUUAAGUUGGGAGGAAGGGCAGUAAGUUAAUACCUUGCUGUUUUGACGUUACCAACAGAAUAAGCACCGGCUAACUUCGUG
rnacentral:rRNA from 1 species